AAAAAAUUUUAUUUGUGUAUAUGUGUUAAUGUACUUGUUUCCUUUCAUUUUAAUUUUUUUUUUGAGACAGGGUUUCUCUGUAUAGCCCUGGCUGUCCUGGAACUCACUUUGUAGACCAGGCUGGCCUCGAACUCAGAAAUCCACCUGCCUCCCAAGUGCUGGGAUUAAAGACAUGUGCCACCAGGCCCGGCUUUCAUUUUAAUAUUUUAUUUGUAUGUGUGUGUAUGUGUGUAUACACAUGUGUGCAAGAGUGCACACACAAUACAGGUGCAAGUGGAGGCCAGAGGAGGUCACUGGGUCUCCCAGAGCUAAGGUUGGAGGGAGCUGGGAGCUGUCUGACAUGGGUGCUGGGAUCUAAACUCAGGUCCUCUGCAAGAGUAAGUACUCUUAGCUGCUGAGCCCUCUCUCCAGCCCCUAAUUUAAUAUCUUUUUGAUAUAUAACUAGGCUUGGGAUUGGUCGAUCAUAUGAAAGUUCUAUUAAUUUUUUGAGGAACUUAACAAUGGCUCUGUAAUUUUACACCCCUACCAACAGUGUGUAAAGGCCCCCUCUUCUUCAUUUUCCAGACAACACUUUUAGUGGGUUUUUUUUUCUUCUUGCUCCAGUCCCACUUGCUAUGGCCCAAAGAUUUAUUUAUUAUAUGUAAGUACACUGUAGCUGUUCAGACACACCAGAAGAAGGCAUCAGAUCUCAUUACAGAUAGUUGUGAGCCACCAUGUGGUUGCUGGGAUUUGAACUUAGGACCUUUGGAUGAGCAAUCAGUGCUCUCAACCACUGAGUCAACUCUCCAGCCCUAGUGUUUUUGUUAAUAGCCAUCCCAACUAGUGUGAAGUGAUUGUUUUAAAUUUUGUCAUGGAUUUAUUUGGACAGUCCCACUGUGGCGAUCUGGCUAGCCUUCAGGUUGUGGAUCUCGGCCUUUUGAGCAUUGGCAAUAGGGUGGAUAGGGUAGGCACUGGUCCUGACUAUUCUUUUGAAUUUCAUUUCCUGGUGAUUAGGGAAGCUGGGGACCUUUGCAAAGCUUUCUCGUCAUCUGUACAUCCAUCCUCCUUUGAGAGAUGUCUAUUUAGGCUUUGUCCGUUUUUCCAUUGACUUGGCUGUCCGCUGACUGUUGAAUUUCCUUUCCUUUCCUUUCCUUUCCUUUCCUUUCCUUUCCUUUCCUUUUCUUUCCUUUCCUUUCCUUUUCUCUUCCUUCCUCCCUCCCUCCUUCCCUUCCCUUCCCUUCCUUCCUUCCUUCCUUCCUCUUUUCUUUUCUUUUCUUUUUUCUUUUCUUUUCUUUUCUUUUCUUUUCUUUUCUUUUCUUUUCUUUCUUUCUUUCUUUCUUUCUUUCUUUCUUUUUUUUUUUUCUUUUCUCGAGACAGAGUUUCUCUGUGUAGUCCUGGCUGUCCUGGAACUCAGUCUAUAGACCAGGUUGGCCUUGAACUCAAAAAUCCACCUGCCUCUGCCUCCCAAGUACUGGGAUUAAAGGUGUGUACCACCACUGCCUGGCUCCUUUUUUUUUUUUUGGACAGGGUUUAUCUGUGUAACCCUGGCUAUUCUGGAACUCUGUAUAUGUAGACCAGAAUAGCCUGGAACUCACAGCUCUGCCCUACCCCUACCUCCAAGUGCUGGGAUUAAAGGUAUGCACCAUAAACACCCAGCUCUUGUUGGUUUUAUAUUGCAAUUUCUUUUUUGGAUUUACUUUAUUAUUUUGUAUGUCUGAAUGAUUUGCCUGCAUGCAUGUAUGUGUGUGUACCACGUGUUUGCCUGAUGUCUGAGACAGUCAGAAGAGGGCUUCAGCAUCCCGGGCACUGGAGCUACAGAUGGUUGUAAGCCACAGUGUGGGUGCUGGAAGCAAACCCACAUCCUCUGCAAGAGCCACAGUGUCUUUAACUGCUGGGCCACUUCUUCAGCUCUAUAGCAAUUUCCUAUCAGACGCAUGAUUUACACCCACAUCCUUUGGGGUUUUUUUUUGGGGGGGGCGCUUUUUGCUCUCUAACCAUUUCCUGUGCUGUCUGGAUGUUAGCCCGACAGGAUUCCACCGCCCCCCCCCAAUACCUUUGCUAUUAAAUCCAAACCGCCUUUGCCUAGACCAGAGUCAGCAGCCUCUCUGCUGUUCACUUCUCAUUGCUACAUAGGUUUAGGUCUUGC
rnacentral:lncRNA from 1 species